GGAGUUUCACGACGUCUUCAAUUAGUACACUGUAAGGAUUCCUAAUAUCACGGAUGGAAACCAUUAUGGAAAAAACUUUCCGUUUGACACAAUGCACAACUGACAAGAAGGAAGGAAAUUCUUUGCAAUCCUACGACGGCCUGGGAUUUGCGUAUCACGGCACAACAGUAGAAAGUUUUGUUGAAAAAAAGAACUUACAAAAAUUCAUGCCAAUUCAAUGGCGUUGGCAGACGGAGCAAAGGGAUCCCGAGCCGCAAAAUGAGUUAUGUUAGGAAACUUCUCUUCAUCUCGAGUUACGUUAUACAAGGUUCCACUGUGCGGAUAACAGAGCACUGGUCACAUUUCUCCGCCAUAUAUCUUUCAUCAUAAUGAUACUCGAUAAAGAUUUAUUCAACAACAGGUACAUUUUUUUCUACUAGAUCUAGUUAAGCCUAUUCAUCGAUUGUAGUAGGAUGUUUAUAAGUGAUUAAUGGAAGAUGGAAAAGUAAAUCAGAGGAUAAAAUUAUCCAAUUAUUUAAAAG